UACGUAGGUUGCGAGCGUUAACCGGAAUUACUGGGUGUAAAGUGUGCGCAGGCGGCCGCGCAAGUCGAGUGUGAAAGCCCCGAGCUUAACUUGGGAAUUGCGCUCGAAACUACGUGGCUGGAGUGUGGCAGAGGAAGGUGGAAUUCCACGUGUAGCGGUGAAAUGCGUAGAGAUGUGGAGGAACACCAAUGGCGAAGGCAGCCUUCUGGGCCAACACUGACGCUCAUGCACGAAAGCGUGGGGAGCAAACAGG
rnacentral:rRNA from 1 species